rnacentral:rRNA from 1 species
CGUGUCGUGAGAUGUUGGGUUAACGUCCCGCAACGAGCGCCAACCCUGUGGUUAGUUGCCAGCAAGUAGCGUUGGGCACUCUAGCCAGACUGCCGGUGAAUAAUCGGAGGAAGGUGGGGGCGACGUCAAAUCAUCAUGCCCUUUAUGUCCUGGGCUACACACGUACUACAAUGGCCGUUACAACGGGAAGCGAAGGAGCAAUCCGGAGCAAAUCCCUUAAAGGCGGUCCCAGUUCAGAUUGUGGGCUGAAACUCGCCCACAUGAAGGCGGAAUUGCUAGUAAUUGCAGAUCAGCAUGCUGCAGUGAAUACGUUCCCGGGCCUU